UGACCCCGCGCGGGAGAGUCCUCCGGAGAAACCUUCCGGAGGCGCCGAAGGAGCAAAUCCUCCCCGGAAUCUCUCAGGCCCCUGUACCGCGCGGACGAG
rnacentral:ncRNA from 2 species